CCACGGGCUCUGACAUUUAUCUGUAUGGAUCCCCACACAGACACAAGCAUGUGCACACAACUAAAAUGAAAGAAUGGAGACAUAAGUACACUUCUUAAAGGCGGCAUUGAGGAGGAGGCUGGAAAGUUAGGGCUUGCGUUGAGACUUUGGAGGCUGGACCACUGAGGCAGCAAAAGAAACGAAGCAUCAGGAUCACCAGGGGAUCCGGCAACCAAGGUGAGAUGGAGGCAGAAGAAAGGGAGCUACGUAGACAGUCACAGUAUCUGGGUGUGAUGGCACUGAGUCUGGGAAGGCAGGGACAGACUUUCCGGUUGCUAAGGCUGGUCUUGAACUUGCUAUGUAGCAGAGCUGGCUUCCUGAAUCUCCCGCUGCCGCCAAGCCUGGAAUCACAGGAAUGUACCUCUAUGCUUGACUCUACCUUUGUUUUUAAGCACUAAUUCACCUCUGUAACGAGUAGUCUGGCAUUCUGAGCCAGUAACAUCAUGCCUGGAGACUGUGAAAGACCAGUUGACUCUAGCCGCCUUCCUUUCUCCACAAACCAGGAGGAACCCUGGAGCAAGAUCACAGCUCACACUAUGCUGGCUGUUUGCUGUUUUCUGGCUGCUUAGCACCCAGCCCUCCCGGGUUCUGAAGAGCCCUCUCCAUUCCUUGUCAGUAAUGGUUUGGGGCCCCUUCCCGCAGCAACCUAACUGGUCUGCUAAUUAAUGAGGCCUGCCUUAUUUUAUUCUGGGCCAGUGCAUUUUGAACCAGGUAACUGAAGUACUGUGGAAGAAAAUUGGAGCAGGAUUUAUUUUGACAAUGUUGUUUGAGCUCCUGGAUGUCUGUCUGUCCCUGGGGAGAUACAGGCUGUCCUUCCUGAACCUUGUUUUUCAGGUCCUUUCUAGCCUGUGAUCUGUUCUACGUCUUUCAAGUAAAUUCUUUCUGGUCUUAUCUAAAGUUAGUUUCUCUUGGUUUUAAAACAAAACAAAACAAAACAGAACAAAAUUAAAACUUGAGGCUGGUGAGAAGGCUUUCCUGCUGAAGUGUUUGCUGCUCUUCCAAAGACCAGAAUUCGCUUCUAGUACCCAUGUUGGUAGGCUUACAACCACCCACAACUUUAGUCCUGAGGGAAUCAUACAGCUGUGUUUGUCCUUCACAGAUACACACACACACACACACACACACACACACACACACACUCUUUAUAAAUAAAUAAGACAACUCC